CAGUUGUAGAAAUAUGUAUCGCAUUUAAACAAACGAAAGAUGUUGAUUGUCUUUUAACGCAAAACAAAACGUUAUAAAGUUCAACUUGACAUCAACACCUCGAUGCUCACUAGCCGCAAACUGAUAGUAAACACAACAACAACAGAUUUAAACUUGAGUGGUUCACGAGACCAAAACACAUCACUGCUAGCUUGCCAGAGAACACACUUAUGCUUUCCGUGUUCUUUAACUUUACUCGGGGGGCAUGGUACCUCAAAAACAGACUUUAAGGAGGUCAAGCAUCUUUCUGAGAGGAUUAUUAAGCAUGAAGGCAACACGACAACAAGCGGAAAUUUGGCAAACAUGGCAACCCAAACUGACAGAAUGAACAACUGACAGCACAUUAAGGAGAUGAGCUACUGUAGAUGCUGUUCAUCAAUGACACUGAAGAUCUGACGGAGGCUCUAUUGUGAGAUGCACAUAAAUAAGACUUGAUGAAGAUUUUCACAAACCCACCUAUGCACUUGAUGUCAUAGCCUUGUGGUGCUUUGAGGGUCCGCCUGGUCCAUCCGUUUCUGAGCACCUGCAGAUGAACCUCUUUACCCUGAAUCAGCAGCACAUGCUCAUCUAUCCAGCCCAGGAAGAAGAUCUCAGUCAGUGCGAGUGUUAGAGCCUUGUUCCAGAAAUGCUGCAUGUUUACGGCUUUGAAAUUAGCGAACACCUCGUAGCCGGUGACGCGUUGCUCUAACUUCGGUGGUGAUGAUGGGGGGUCCGGUUCAUCUUCUCCGCCGAGCUGCGACAGCACCAGAGCCAGAGAGUGCGGAGAGACCAGAAGAAACUUCUCCAUUCCUGCUUCAGGCAAAGUUAUCGACGGUCCGUAUCAAAACAAAACACCGUUUCCUCACUGUUGGACGGUGUAUGGACCGCGCAUGUCUUACUUUUCUAUCCCAAAAGUGCCUGAUUAUCUCAACUGGUUUACUCAUAUUUAAAGAAAUGAACAACAGAGUAAAAUAUUACAGGAUGGACUUAUCCGGAGUUUGCAGAAUCAUGUUGGAAAUAAGCAUAAUAAGUACACGUGCUCCAUGUAAAAUCUGGGAAAUUAACAACCUGACACGCCGUCCUCUGCAGUCAACUAAACCCGACUAUCAAAGAGUAUUAGGGACUAUUUUCAGCGACAAAGAGGCGAGGACUAGUGCUGCGUUCAAGGACCACACGUAAACUCCUACUUUACACUAAGAAAGAUCAUCAAUGUCAGGCCUGUUUGUUAGAAAUUGUGAAUGGGUUUUAAAAUACCAAACGUUUUGUUGAUUUGGUUUGACUAGACAAUACUAUUACCAACAACAAUUGAAAGAAAAAUUCAAACAACCGCAUAGUAUGUGCAGUAGAAACCUAAUUUUAACUUUAUUGUCCCAAAAGGCGCAAUAAAGUGUUGCUUAAAGUAAGAAUAAUAGUAAAAUAAAUAACAAAUAUAUCUAAAAGGCAUGAUCAUAGAGGGGAAACAUAACCAACAUGUUUCUCAAAAUCCAUUUGAAUUCUCUUUCAGCACCUUAUAGUGGAAAUAAAGUUUACAAAUCAACCCUUUAUUAAUGAUUGCUCUACUGUAGAGCUGCAAUAAUUUGGCUAUUAUUUGAUUGGUCAAUUUCCAGACAAAUAACGUCUUUGAUAUUUAAGUUACUGCUAAUCAAUGCUUUAUAAAAGUAAUGGCCUAAUGCAAACAUAAUCUAAAAGUAAACAUAAUACAAUCAUGAAAGCUAGGAAUAAUUAGCUUUUCAUUGCGUAUGCUGUCAAUUUUCAUCCCAAGACUAAACUCUUAACAUCAACCAAAAUAAAGAAACUGAUUGGAUGAACUCUUUAUAAUAUUGUAUCCAGGGGGGCUUUGAGUCUGGGUAUUUUUAAUGGCUGGUGUGUGUAGGUGUUGAGCUGUGAGCAUUUGUAUCAGUAUGUCCUCCAGAUACCAGGUGUAAGCCUCUUUUGUGAGAGCUAGUUUAGGUAAAGUGGGAUCUGUGCUGGCAGUGAGGGAUCGGAGACCGAGUUUUAUUUGGCCCAGGGCCUCAGGAUCUGCUGGCCCACUUCUUCUUACCUAGAGACAUGCCAAAUCUGGAGUAAUCCUGCCUGUUCACACUCAAAAGAAGUGUGCAAAAGUACACCCUUUACUGUGUUGGUAAAGGUUAACUAGAUUUAUGAGAUAUGAACAACAAUGGCAAGACUUGAUGGAAAGUGAGCAGAUACACGACUGUAAGAGCCAAGAACAAAAUCAUUAACACUGUUGUACAACACGUAAUGGAAACUUGUUUUUAUUUUUUAUGGAAACACAACACCAAUCUCACAGUAUAACUGCUUACAUAAUAGUGAUGGAAUAUGAAUAAACCAAAAGUUACAUUCCUAGCAACAAGUGUAUUACAUUGACAGGACUUAAAAACGGGAUUGUCCAACGACUGAAGUAUUUUAACAGCAAAGUGAUUUCAGCUAUUUUGCUGUAAAUAUUAGAAAAUGUACUCAUGAAUGAGC